rnacentral:rRNA from 1 species
CCUACGGGAUGCACCAGUGGGGAAAAUUGCACAAUGGGCGCAAGCCUGAUGCAGCCAUGCCGCGUGUAUGAAGAAGGCCUUCGGGUUGUAAAGUACUUUCAGCGGGGAGGAAGGUGUUGUGGUUAAUAACCACAGCAAUUGACGUUACCCGCAGGAGAAGCACCGGCUAACUCCGUGCCAGCAGCCGCGGUAAUACGGAGGGUGCAAGCGUUAAUCGGAAUUACUGGCGUAAAGCGCACGCAGGCGGUCUGUCAAGUCGGAUGUGAAAUCCCCGGGCUCAACCUGGGAACUGCAUUCGAAACUGGCAGGCUAGGGUCUUGUAGAGGGGGGUAGAAUUCCAGGUGUAGCGGUGAAAUGCGUAGAGAUCUGGAGGAAUACCGGUGGCGAAGGCGGCCCCCUGGACAAAGACUGACGCUCAGGUGCGAAAGCGUGGGGAGCAAACAGGAUUAGAUACCCUCGUAGUC